rnacentral:lncRNA from 1 species
UUAUUUAGUGUAUACAUACAGUUGCAAUCAGCGCAACUACGAUGUUGCAAUUGGUUGGUCAUGUGUGUCCACUGUUUUCCGAACAGUCACACAGUCAUUAUUGAGUUUAACUUACACAGAGUUAUAAAAUAAGAUAAAAUUGAAAUAUUACAUUGGAGAUUCAGUCAGAUUCAUAGUCAUUCUUAAUCACUUUCGUCCUAGUAAUUAACAUGGCAAGUUGUCGCCCUCCUAAUUCUUGCAAUCACCGCGUGUGCUGCUGACUCCUCCACCGCCAUAGUGCAUCCAGAUUGCUGUGUCUCAUCCCCCUCACUCUGUGCCUCAUCUUGAUUCCCAUCUAGUCCUUUUUUUAUUGUUGGGCGACCUCUUUUUCUUGGAGUCCAACCUACAGUUUUCGCACUUCUCUUUUUGUCCUUGUUCUCGACCGCUCUGCUUCUGUUUGGGUUCUGAGGGCAUGUUGUGCUAUAGUGCCCCCUAACAUGGCAGGUUUGACACUCUCUUAUGCCCUGACCCCCACUAUAUGUGUUGUAUGGAUUAGCAGGUUCCACACUAUUUUUAGCACAUUUAGCCCCACUGGCAGACUUCCUACCCUUCGUGCGCGACACUGGCGGUUCAGUCAAUCUUAGAUCAGUGAGGCAGUUUGCAGAAUCUGGAUUGAGGCCCGAUUCUGGUGGUGGUGUAGGUCCAGUUGGCAUCACAACAGGUUCUAUAUUGUUGUCAGAACUUUGUUGUGUUGGUGCGAUGGGACCAAUAUUCCGCCGUCCUUCUGCAUCUUGCUGCAACUCAGUAUUUGUUGCUUCGUCCGGACCAAUCGGACCAAUCUCCGAUGUUCGUAGAAGCUCAAUCCCAGGAGUUAUCAUGUCGAUGUGCCUGAUAGUUUCAGUGUAUGCUCUAUCAGAUUUGCUUCCCGCUCUUCCCAGUCGCAUUAACUUUGGCAG